rnacentral:rRNA from 1 species
UUAAGAAUCUUGCGCAAUGGGGGAAACCCUGACGCAGCGACGCCGCGUGGACGAUGAAGGCCUUCGGGUUGUAAAGUCCGAUAAGCGGGGAAGAAUAAGCAACGGGUAAUAUUCGUUGUGAUGACGGUACCUGCCUAAAGCCCCGGCUAACUACGUGCCAGCAGCCGCGGUAAUACGUAUGGGGCUAGCGUUGUUCGGAAUUAUUGGGCGUAAAGGGCGUCUAGGCGGGGGAUUAAGUUAGAUGUGAAAGCUAUGGGCUCAACCCAUAAACUGCAUCUAAGACUGGUUCUCUUGAGUCCGGGAGGGGAGAUCGGAAUACAUGGUGUAGCGGUGAAAUGCGUUGAUAUCAUGUAGAACACCGGUGGCGAAGGCGGAUCUCUGGAACGCAACUGACGCUGAGGCGCGAAAGUCGGGGGAGCAAACA